ACCUGGCCGGCUCGGUUGGUGGAGCGUGCGACUCUUGAUCUCAGGGUUGUGAGUUCGAGCCCCACGUUGGGUG
rnacentral:tRNA from 1 species